GCAGGAGGGAGUGCAGAGGGGACUCUGGGGUGGCAGAGGGCAAGGAGAGGAAGCCGCCCCCGUCUAGGGGGCCCGCCCCAGCCCCACGGGAAGUGGGACGGGGAAAGGCACCCUACAAAGAAAGGACUCCUAGCUCCCAACUGGUUCGAAUCCCACCUCGGCCACUUACUGGGUGUGUGACCUUGGGUAGGGUAACGCCUCUCUGUGAGCCUCUGCUUUUUCCAGAAGAAACGGGAAAAAUCAAAGUGCUGCCUUCUCUGAGUCAAUUAGGCGACCCUCAUUACGGCGACAGUCGGGAAGUAUGGGGUCUGGGCCCGCCCGGGCACACGGAGGGUGCCUGCCGCAGGUGGCCGGUUCCCUCGGGGCUGCCCAAGGCUGGGCGAGGGCCUCUUCGCCCAGCUGGUCGGGAUCAGGACGCGACACGGAAGAGACCCCAGCUCUGCCCUGACCCCGGUCCGGGUCCGCAGGACGCAGCCCACUCGCCCUCAGAACACCGGCUCGCCUGGCACCCGGCGCGGCCCGGGCCCCGCUCGGACUCGAACCUGGUGGGGGCGCGCCCGGCAGAAAGCGGGGUGCUGGGACAGCGGGACCCCCACGCGCGACCCUGGUCUCCCGGGCCAGUCCCCUCCCCAGGUCCGGGCGGCUCACCAGGGCCGACUUGGAUGCUGCGUGACUAAUUACCACAAUCUGAAAAUAUAAAAUAACUCCCAUUCAUCAUCUUUCAGUCCUGCGGGGCAGGAAACCUCCUGUCUCAGGGCCUCACGAGGCUAGAGUCAAAAUGUCAGCUGCCGUGGGCUCUUAUCUGCAGACUCUGGGGAAAGCCCACUUCCAGGCUCAUCCAGGAUGUUAACAGAAUUGUCUCCAUGGGCCUAGGACUGAAGUCCACGUCUUCUUGCUGGAUGUUGGCUGGUGUCAUUCUCACUCCUAGAGGCCACUGCAUUCCUUCCACGAUGGCUUGAACACCUCCAUCAUCAGAGCCAGCAAGCAAGAGCACGCUGAAGACGCUUCGAGAUGCAGCAAGACGCCUGUAAUCCCAGCCCUUUGGGAGACCGAGGCAGGUGGAUCACGAGGUCAGGAGAUCGAGACCAUCCUGGCCAACAUGGUGAAGCCCCGUCUCUACUGAAAUACAAAAAGUUAGCCAGACGUGGUGGCACGUGUCUAUAGUCCCAGCUACUCGGAGGCUGAGGCAGGGGAAUCGCUUGAACCCGGGAGGCGGAAAUUGCAGUGAGCUGAGAUUGCGCCACUGCACUCCAGCCUGGCAACAGAGCGAGACUCCAUCUCAAAAAAAAAGGUGCUGCAAGACGCUUCCAAUCUCUGUGACUUCCCCUUCUGCCAUACCUCUUUACUUUUUCCCCCUCUUUUGGGGAGGGGGGAGGGUUUAAAAUAAAUAUAAAAUUUACCAUCAUAACUGUGAAAGGAAAAUAAAUCUCAGGACUCCAAAAUCACUAAGCCAAAGGGAAAAGUCAAGCUGGGAACUGCGUUGGGCAAACUGCCUCGCCUUUUCUUCUUUAAUAAAAUAGCUACGAAGAUUUAAAAAGCUACAUACCUCCCUCACAAUUUGCCCGCUAGGAAAUUUUUCGUGGGCACCCAAGAUCUUUACCCUAAAACAGUUUUGUUGAAUUUUACCCUAACAAUGUACAUUGACAACUGAUCUUCACAGGUUCCAAACAAAGGAUGGAACUCUAAGUCAUCCCUCUGCUCACCUGAUUGCUUCCUCUGGUAUAAAAGUGCAGAUUCACCGAGCCAGACUAAGGCAUAAGUGACUAUUCCUCUACCCCCGCAACCUGUAAAUUGUGUAUUUCAGUGAAAGUCUGAUCAAAGACUCACAAGAAUGCAACCUUUGUCUCUUAUCUCUCCACAUAUUUUUAAAAUUUCUCCCUCUUUCCCAAUAUCCAC
rnacentral:lncRNA from 1 species